rnacentral:rRNA from 1 species
AGUGAACGCUGGCGGUAGGCCUAACACAUGCAAGUCGAACGGCAGCACAGUAAGAGCUUGCUCUUACGGGUGGCGAGUGGCGGACGGGUGAGGAAUACAUCGGAAUCUACUUUUUCGUGGGGGAUAACGUAGGGAAACUUACGCUAAUACCGCAUACGACCUACGGGUGAAAGCAGGGGAUCUUCGGACCUUGCGCGAUUGAAUGAGCCGAUGUCGGAUUAGCUAGUUGGCGGGGUAUAGGCCCACCAAGGCGACGAUCCGGAGCUGGUCUGAGAGGCUGAUCAGCCACGGUAGGAGAGAGACACACGCCAGACUGCGACGGGGGACAGGAGUGGAAUAUUUUGGAAAGUGGGGGAAGCGUGUACCAGCCAUGCGGCGUGGGUGAGAAAGGCCUUCGGGUUGUAAGGCCUUUUGGUGGGAAAAAAAAAGCGGCAGUUUAAACCCCCUCUGUUUGACCGUAACCGGAGAAUAAGCACCGGCUAACUUCGUG